rnacentral:rRNA from 1 species
AGGACGAACGCUUGCGACGUGCCUAAGAAAUGCAAGUCGAGCGAGGUAGCAAUACCUAGCGGCGAACGGUCGCGUAACACGUAAGCAACCUGCCCCAAAGACCGGGACAACGUUCCGAAAGGAGCGCUAAUACCGGAUGUGCCCAUCUUUUGACAUCGGAGGAUGAGUAAAGCGCGCAAUCGGCUUUGGGAGGGGCUUGCGGCCUAUCAGCUAGAUGGUGGGGUAACGGCCUACCAUGGCGACGACGGGUAGCUGGUCUGAGAGGAUGGUCAGCCGGAUUGGGACUGAGAUACGGCCCAGACUCCUACGGGGGGCAGCAAUUAGGAAUCUUGCGCAAUGGGCGAAAGCCUGACGCAGCGACGUCGCGUGGGGGAGGAAGGCUUUCGGGUUGUAAACCCUUUAUCGAGGAAGAAACAAUGACGGUACUCGAUGAAUAAGCCCGGCUAACUCCGCGCCAGCAGCCGC